UUCAGAUAAGAUUCACAUAUCAUUUCUAAGCAGUAGCAUGAAUGAUAACAACGAGCAUGUUCGCGUAUAAUCGAUACAAAGUGUUUAAUAGACUUCAAAAUAAUCAUAAAGAACAUCGCGUUAAUUUCUAUACUUUUUUUUGGCAGCCUUUAAUAACCUAAUAUUUAUCAACAUCGACUAGACGAGUUUAUACGUAAUUUGGAAAAACGAUAGUACAAGUAGGAUCUUUCAAAGGAGAGGGAAAAAAUCUUACUCAACAUGAAAAGCACUUCUGGCUGCUGUGGGAUAACAUUGCGGCAUGGUGCCAUCUUCCUUCUUAUCUUCAACAUAGUGCUCGUUUGUUUAGAAGUGCAAUUUUCCUUACUGUACUUCAAGGAACUUGGCAUGGAGACAAUUUUCGCGGAUAAACAUGGAAUGUCAAUGGCUUAUAUUUUUAUAUUGAUUGAAAUAGCCGUGUAUUUUAAAGCCGCCAUUUCUGCAUUUAGAAGACAAUCUUCGAUGUUGACAUUCGCCACCGUGAUAUUACUUCUAAAAUCUUAUUUCACCAUCGAUUUUGCGGUUCGUGCUCAUUAUGAAAGUACAUUAUGUAAUAUUUGGAAGAAAACAAUACAACCGGGUAUUAUGGGAAUGCUGGAUGGAGAAUGCGAGAAAUACUUUGAAAAUAAUGAAAAUUUUAUGCACAAAAUUUUCAUUAUCGCGUUUUAUUUGAUGUGUUUCUUAAUUUUUGUUUUGGUUCUCAGCAGUGCCUCGGUUGUGAACAGUUACAAAAAACAAAUCGAUUUCAUUCACAUGGAAAAUAUGUUUUUUCGAGUGAAAAAUGCGCGAAACCUGCCAACUGGUUUCACUCGACCUACCUCCUACGUUUAUCAGUCACUAGAUCAGAGCACGAUUCAUCAAGAUAAACGUUUCGAAUGAUCACAAAGGCAAGAGGAGUUUGUUGUAUUCUACACAAUCAUAUCAGGGUAAAGGUCUAAUCGUAACACAUUAAAGGAAAUACUCAUGUACUUAGAUCAGGGUUGGGUAUCUACGCGUAGAAUAGCCUAUUCUACAUUUUGGUGUAGAAUACGUAAAAUUUGAUGUAGAAUGCGUAAAAUGCGUAGAAUGUGUAGAAUGUGUAAAAUACGAUGUAGAAUGCGUAGAAUGCAGUAAAAUCACCUAUCUGAAAGCCAAAAAAUUGUUUAUUUAGCGAAAAUGCGUCUUGAAAAAUGAAAGUUCAACUUUUCUGUUCUGCAAAUGAAAUGUGAAAUGUGAAUUUGGAAUUUCUUCUUCUUGAUUAUGUAACUUGAUAAUAAAUUAAAUGAUGGAAAAAAAUGAAAAAAUAAAAGUUUUUCAAAAAAAAAAAAUCGUCUGUACAUUCAUUUUACGCAUAUUCUACGCAUUCUACUCAUUCUACGCAUUUUACAUGCUUUCCAGGCUAUUCUACAUGUGCUAUUCUACGCGUAGAAUGUCCAUGUAUUCUACAUGGUGUAUUCUACGGCACAACCCUGACUUAGAUAUCGACAUAGUCAAGUAAUUGCAAUUGUACAGUUAUAGUUUGAGUAUCUUCCACAAAUGAGUGACACUGAAGUAUUGAAGUAUUGUUGUAUACUAUUGACUAGGAACCUACCUAUAGAAAAUUUUGUUAUAUAUAGGAACUUUUUAUGAAUUUCAUUGUACAGCCUAUUUAUUGUAUGUACUUAAUCAAGCCAAUGCUCAUUUUAUCGUAAGAACAUUUUUUUUUUGUUUUUUUUUUUUUUUUUUUUUUUUUUUUUUUUUUUUUUUGUAAGGACUUUUUAAAUAGGACCUUUUCAACUUGUUUUAUAAAUGGAUGAGUUUAUAUAUUUUUGUUAUUAUAUUUAUUUAUUUUUUUUAAAUUUAUCCAUAGAGACUGGUACCAGAUUUUAGAUUAGGUCCAUUACCUAUUUUAAUUAAUAGGUAAAUAUAUUAGAUUUGAUAUUGUUCGUUGAAUAUGUCCUUUAUGUGUUUGUAAAGUUACUAAUCUUAUGCGAUUAUCCUUUCCUUGAUGUAAUUGAAUUACUCGUCCCAUAGGCCAAUUUACAGGAGGUUGAUUUAGUUCUUUAAUUAUUACUAAAUCUCCUAUUUGUAGACCUCUGGAGUUUGUACGCCAUUUAUUUCGUUGUUGUAGAGUGUGUAAGUAAUCAGAAGACCAUUGUUUCCAAAACAUUUGUGUUUUCUUUUGAAUUUGUUGCCAAUAUAGAAGUCUAGAUUCUGGAAUAUUAAUAUAAUUUUGUUCUGGCAAAGAAGUAAUUUGGUCUUCCAAUAAGAAAAUGUGCUGGAGUCAGCACUUCCAGGUUAUCUGGAUUAUUACUUAUUGGCGUUAAUGGCCUUGAGUUGAGUAUGGCUUCAAUUUGACAUAGUAAUGUUGUGUAUUCAUCAAAAUUAUAGUGUGAGUCAUAUGUAAUAUUUCGUAAAUGUCUUUUUAUACUUUUAAUAUUACUUUCCCAUAGGCCACCCCAAUGUGGUGCAUAUGGUGGUAUAAAAUGCCACUCUAUGUUUUGUGUUUGGGCAAAAUUUAUAAUUUUAUCGUGAUUUAUUCGCAAGAAUUCUUUGAAAUUCUUGUCUAGAAUUGGUUUGGCUCCAACAAAGGUUUUGUCAUUAUCAGAGUGAAUUUCCUUUGGAAGCCCUCUGCGUGAUAUAAAACGGUGUAAAGCACUUAUGAAUGCUUGUGAAGAGAGAUUGCCUACUAAUUCAAGAUGUAUUGCUUUGGUAACAAAGCAUACAAAUACUGCAAUAUAUGCCUUAAAAACAACUUUGUUUCUUCCACCAUGACAUUUUACAUUGACAGGACCUGCAUAGUCAACACCAGUUAUGUGAAAAGGGUUGUUAGGUAUAACCCUAGAUUUUGGUAAAUUAGCCAUGAAUUGUUCUUGGACCUUUCCAUUAUAUCGUAAACAUUUUACACAGUUUCUAAUGCAAUUUUGAAUUGCUGUGUGUAAUCUAGGAAUCCAAAAACGUCUUCGUAUAAUGGCACUUAGUGAGUGUGAGUUGGCAUGUAAGUAUUUUGAAUGUUCAUGUUGAAUUAUCAUCUUUGAAAAUGUAUGAUGCCUAUCAAGGAUCAUGGGAUGUUUUUGAUCAAAAGGUAGAUACGAAGCAUCCAACCUACCACCAACUCGAAGUAUGUUUUGAUUAUCAAGAAAUGGAUUCAAGUUUCUUAGUGGACUAUCUUUGAGGAUUUUUGCAGAACUCAAAUUUUUUAAUGCUUUAAUUUCAGAAGAGAAAGAUUCUUCUUGAGCAGUGCGUGUAAGCACUGUUAGAGCAUUUUGUAGUUCAAAGUAUUUUAAAUGUCCACUUACAAUAGGACCAUUUCCUAAACUCCUUUUUCUUACUCUGGUAUUGACACAAAAUCUCAACAUAUAUGCAGUGACACGAAUCAAUUUAUCAAAAUUUGAAAUUCUAGUGAAUAUAGGAUUUGAAAUAACAGUGAUUCCCACUAUGUUUUUUAUUUUCUUGAUUCCUAUUUGAGUAGGAUUAUCAGAAGGAGUAAACUUCAUUUCUCUUGGCCAAGGUUUAAUACUUGUUUUGAGCCAAUCAGGGCCAUUCCACCAUAAGUGUGAUUGUAAUAAUUGUUGUGGAAGUAAGCCAUGAGAAAUUAUGUCAGCUGGAUUGUGUUCGGAUUUAACAUAAUCCCAUUGGAAGUUUUUUGUACUAUUUUGUAUUUUUUGUACUCGAUUGGCUUCGUAAGUUUCAAGUUUAUAACUGGGAGUAUGAAUCCAAUAUAGAGCUACUGUUGAAUCUGACCACAAACGUAUGUUUGUGAAUUGAAGAUUGUAAAAUGCUUCAAUUACUUUAUUUAUUAGCUCUGAGAGUAAUAAAGCUGCACAUAAUUCUAAACGAGGUAUAGAUAUUUUCUUUAGAGAUGCAACACGUGAUUUGGAGCUAAUUAGUUUAAUAUUGACAUUUCCCUUUAUAUCAACACUUUUAAUAUACACCACUGCGCCAUAUGCUUGUUCAGAAGCAUCAGCAAAACCAUGUAAUUCACAGAAGAGUUGAUCUUCGGAAGUAAAUAAAUAACGUGGUAUUCUUAUUUGGGAAAGUAAAUUCAAUUGUGAAGAAAAGACUUUCCAUUGAUCUAAUAUAUUAUCAGGAAUCGCAUCAUCCCAAUCUAAUGUUUUUUGAUCAAUGGUAACACUCCAUAUAAGUUGCAUUAGUAAUCUGGCAAUAAUAGUAAUAGGACCAAUUAGUCCUAGAGGAUCAUAUAUUGAUGAUAUUUUGCCAAGAAGUUGUCUUUUUGUUUUUACUUCUCCUUCUAUAUCUUUGAUUUUUACAAAGAUCUCAUCUUCUUUAGGUAACCAACACAUACCUAGAGUUGUGAUCCCAGUUUCUCCCCCCAACGAGAGAAUUUUAAGUUUCUCUCGUUAAGAGUCUGGAAUUUGUUCUAAUAAAGAUGGAUGGUUGGCUGACCAUUUGCUUAGUGGAAGUCCUGCACUUUCAACAAGUUCUUUUAGUUGUUCUUGUAUUUUCAAAGUUUCAGAAAUUGUAUUUCCGCCAGAAAUAAUAUCAUCUAUGUAAGUAUCCUUUAAUAGUACAGGGUAAGCUAGAGGAUACUUGAUUUUUUCAGUUUCAGCCAAAUAGGUUAAACAUCUGGUGGCUUGAUAUGGUGAUGAAGAUACACCAAAUGUAACUGUAUUGAGGGCAUAUGUUUUUAAUGGUUCAGUUGGAGAAUUUCUCCUCAAACUAAUGAUGUUGAAUUUCGAAGCUUGUUGGAAAAUAAUUCAAAAUCUUCUCUAACUCUUGUCCCAUGUACUUUACAUGAUUCAGAAAAAACACUAUAUUGCGAUAUUUCUACAGGUCGUUAUAGGCCUUUUGUUCCGCUUCUGUUUCGCCGUAAAAUUUUUGACACUUUUCAUAAUUUAAACCAUCCUGGUGUUAGAGCUUCACGUAAAAUUAUAUCUCAACGUUAUGUUUGGCCCAGUAUCAAUAAAGAUAUUAAUCAUUGGGUAAGACAAUGUAUUUCAUGUCAAAGGUCAAAAAUUCAUAAGCAUACUCAAACAGAAUUAUCCAAUUUUCCUGUAUUGUCAGAACGUUUUCAUCAUAUCCAUAUCGACUUGGUUGGACCCUUACCUUCAUGUGAUGGAUUUAGAUAUUGUUUAACAGCAAUUGAUCGUUUUUCUCGUUGGCCUGAAGUUUUUCCAAUUAAAGAUCAAACCGCUGAGACAGUUGCAAAAACGUUAUUUCAAGGUUGGUUCUAUAGAUUUGGCAUUCCAUUGAAAAUCACUACUGAUCAAGGUCGUCAGUUUGAAUCUAACCUUUUUCGAUCUUUAGCAUGUUUAAUGGGUACCAAAGUUAUCCACACUACAGCUUUUCAUCCAUCCUCCAAUGGUCUUAUAGAACGGUUUCAUAGAACUUUGAAACAAGCCAUAAAAUGCAGAUAUACUAAUAAUUGGGUAGAACUUCUUCCGUCAAUAUUAUUAGGGCUUCGCUGUUCUAUCAAAGAAGACUUGAACACUUGUCCAGCUGAAAUGAUUUAUGGCACUACUCUACGUCUUCCUGGUGAAUUUAUUGCUCCUUCUAAUCAUAUCCAUGAUACAGAAGGAUUUCUUUCUAAUUUACGUGAAAAGAUGAAUUCUUUGAGUCCUGCUCCAACUUUUCACCAUUUAUCAAAAAACAAAAUUUUUUAUGUUCCAAAAGACUUACACUCUGCUGAUUAUGUUUUCCUUAGAGAUGAUAAAGUAAAAACUUCAUUUCAACAACCAUAUUUAGGACCUUUCAAAGUUGUUAAAAAAAAUGAUAAAAAUUUUGAAAUUUUGAUUAAAGGUAAACAUGUUAAUGUUUCUGUAGAUCGUUUAAAACCAGCUUAUUUAUGUAAUUCAGAUCGUUCCUAAACUUAAGAUUUUUUAAGAAAUCAGUUGUAUUAUGAUAUCUAAUAAUUUAUUCAUUAUUUAUUUUAAAGGAGGGAUGUAUAUGUAGCGUCACAUAUUAUUGGCUAUUUAGCAUUGACGUUCUUUCUGUUGUAACUUCGCGAAUCGCGUUUCGUAAAUAAACAUUCAUUACGAUCUUG